CCUACGGGUGGCUGCAGUGAGGAAUAUUGGUCAAUGGGCGAGAGCCUGAACCAGCCAAGUAGCGUGCAGGAUGACGGCCCUAUGGGUUGUAAACUGCUUUUAUAAGGGAAUAAAGUGAGCCUCGUGAGGCUUUUUGCAUGUACCUUAUGAAUAAGCAUCGGCUAACUCCGUGCCAGCAGCCGCGGUAAUACGGAGGAUGCGAGCGUUAUCCGGAUUUAUUGGGUUUAAAGGGUGCGUAGGCGGGUUGUUAAGUCAGUUGUGAAAGUUUGCGGCUCAACCGUAAAAUUGCAGUUGAUACUGGCGACCUUGAGUGCAACAGAGGUAGGCGGAAUUCGUGGUGUAGCGGUGAAAUGCUUAGAUAUCACGAAGAACUCCGAUUGCGAAGGCAGCUCACUGGAGCGCAACUGACGCUGAAGCUCGAAAG
rnacentral:rRNA from 1 species